GACGAACCGUACGAACGUUAUUCGGAAUUACUGGGCUUAAAGGGUGCGUAGGCUGCGCGGAAAGUUGGGUGUGAAAUCCCUCGGCUCAACCGAGGAACUGCGCUCAAAACUACCGUGCUCGAGGGGGACAGAGGUGAGCGGAACUUAGGGUGGAGCGGUGAAAUGCGUUGAUAUCCUAAGGAACACCCGUGGCGAAGGCGGCUCUCUGGGACGGUACUGACGCUGAGACGCGAAAGCGUGGGGAGCGAACAGG
rnacentral:rRNA from 1 species